GGACACAGUCAAGAGGAUGACCACCUGGAGAUGUUGGAAAAUUAGUUUAUAUUUUCCUAUUUGAAGUUACUCCACUCUCCUGUAAUACUGAAUGCUGCUGCAGUGGUGACCCUUGAGGAGCCAACAACUUCCAAAGCCCGAAGCUCAGACACAGAAGAAUGGGCAAAUAGACCCUGGACGGCACCUAAACCUCUCUUCUCA